ACCCACACACUCAGCACACAUACAAACAAAACACACGCACACAACACAGCAACAGCUGCUGAAAAAGAAAGAAGAAAAGAAAGAAAGGGAAAAGGAAAAGAGGGAGAUCUGAGAGGGAGAGGACGCAAGGUUUGAGGGAGCUGCGACGGGGGAGAAGGGAAGAAGAGAGGGAGUCGCCGCCAUUCAGCUCGCCGCCGUCGUUCGAGCUAUCGCCGCCGUCCAGCGCCGUCACGUCUCGCUCGCCGCCGCUGUACCGUCGAGAGGGAAGUCGUGCACGCGUGCUUGAAGGUCACCGUUGUCCUUAUCGCAACCUGCCACCGUCGCUGGAGGUAGCCAUAUUCACUGCCAUUUUCUGCCGUUGCCAAAGCCUGGAACCGCCACACUUUUGUCGUCGUUCCUCACCAGUUCUGUUGCUGCCAUGCAUUGCGAAGCCAGCUGCCACCGUCGCACGCUCCGUUGCCGCCGCUGGUGAUGGGUGGAAGAGCCUCUAUGCCACCAAGAAACGCCGCUGUCAUCACCUACAACCACUGCUGUCGUUGGAGUUCUGGUCGCCGCUGUCAGUCGGGAUGGCUGCUGGAGCUGCCGCCAAAUCGGUUCAGAGACCGCUGCUGUUUCGCUUUCUUAUUACAGUAAAUGUUUUUGUUUCGAAACCCUCGCAUUAAUAUUCUGAUGCGUGAAAUUCGGAGCAACUUGACAGAGUUUGGAGCAAAAAGCUAAAGAUUUGAAGUAUCUCUUUGGGCGCUAAACGCCAGUCAGCAACCCUUGUAAGACAGCAUCGCUCCUACCCCUUAUGGGCGCUAAACGCCCAACCAGACAAUCCGAGUUGAAGCCUACACUUUGGAGCAUCUCUAGUUGGAUUUAUCUUUAAUUUUAUUAGUUAUCUUUUAUUUUCUUUCAGUAAUUUUUAUUUACAAACAAUAUCUUUUAGUUUUAGAAUUUAAUAUUUUAUUUUAAUAUCAAAUCGGAAUUAGGUUAGAUAUAAAAGGGAAAAGAUUCACCCUUUAGGGGGGGAUGGCAACUUCUGAAUCUUUUCUCUUCCGCACUUUUCAGAAUCCUAAUUUUUCUCUGUAAGUCAUG